rnacentral:rRNA from 1 species
CCUACGGGAGGCAGCAGUGGGGAAUAUUGGACAAUGGGCGAAAGCCUGAUCCAGCAAUUCCGCGUGUGUGAAGAAGGCCUUCGGGUUGUAAAGCACUUUAGUGGGGGAAGAAACAGCUUGGCCACACCAAGCCUUGACGGUACCCCAAGAAUAAGCACCGGCUAACUCUGUGCCAGCAGCCGCGGUAAUACAGAGGGUGCAAGCGUUAAUCGGAUUUACUGGGCGUAAAGGGUGCGUAGGUGGCUAUUUAAGUCGGAUGUGAAAGCCCGGGGCUCAACCUCGGAAUUGCAUUCGAUACUGAGUGGCUAGAGUUCGGUAGAGGGCGGCGGAAUUUCCGGUGUAGCGGUGAAAUGCGUAGAUAUCGGAAGGAACAUCAAUGGCGAAGGCAGCCGCCUGGGCCUGGACUGACACUGAGGCACGAAAGCGUGGGUAGCAAACAGGAUUAGAUACCCUGGUAGUCCACGCCGUAAACGAUGAGAACUUGACGUUGGUUCGUUUUACGAAUCGGUGUCGCAGCUAACGCGAUAAGUUCUCCGCCUGGGGAGUACGGCCGCAAGGUUGAAACUCAAAUGAAUUGACGGCUGAGACGUGCGACGGACGACACGAGGGAGGUAGG